rnacentral:rRNA from 1 species
UACGUAGGGUGCAAGCGUUGUCCGGAAUUAUUGGGCGUAAAGAGCUCGUAGGCGGCUUGUUGCGUCGGCUGUGAAAUCCCGGGGCUUAACUCCGGGCGUGCAGCCGAUACGGGCAGGCUAGAGUCCGGUAGGGGAGACUGGAAUUCCUGGUGUAGCGGUGAAAUGCGCAGAUAUCAGGAGGAGCACCGGUGGCGAAGGCGGGUCUCUGGGCCGGUACUGACGCUAAGGAGCGAAAGCGUGGGGAGCGAACAGG